rnacentral:rRNA from 1 species
CACGUGGGCAACCUGCCCCUCGCAGGGGGACAACCGGAGGAAACUCCGGCUAAUACCCCGUACGCUUGUUGGAUCGCAUGGUCCGGCAAGGAAAGGUAGCUUCGGCCAUCCGGCGAGGGAUGGGCCCGCGUUGCAUUAGCUAGUUGGUGGGGUAACGGCCCACCAAGGCGACGAUGCGUAGCUGGUCUGAGAGGAUGAUCAGCCACACUGGGACUGAGACACGGUCCAGACUCCUACGGGAGGCAGCAGUGGGGAAUAUUGCACAAUGGGGGAAACCCUGAUGCAGCCAUGCCGCGUGUG